rnacentral:snRNA from 1 species
UGAUGAAGGUGAUUCCCCCCAUGACAAGUUACCCUAUUAAUCCCUAGAGUGGAUUAGAUCAAUUUGGCUGGCUGCACAUGUGUCCUUCCUCUCUCACCAAUCCUUGUGUGACUCUUCUUCUUCUUCUGAAACUGUGCACGAGGACGACCAUCCAUGAACAAAGAGGAAGACCCGUCUUUGGUACUGGGUAUGUGAAUAUCUGGGCUACAACUUCUAUAACUUCCAAAUAAGCUCAUAAAGUAACUUUUGAAACAAAGUUACUUUUCCAUAGCCAUGAGCUCAACCUCCACAAAACCACUUUAAAACUUGUAAUUAUUUAAGAGAAUUU